rnacentral:tRNA from 1 species
GGUCUGUGGCUCAGUGGCAGAGUGCUUGUCUUGCACGUAUGAGGCACUGGGUUCCAUCCUCAGCACCA